rnacentral:rRNA from 1 species
AAAUUGAAGAGUUUGAUCAUGGCUCAGAUUGAACGCUGGCGGCAGGCCUAACACAUGCAAGUCGAACGGUAACAGGAAUCAGCUUGCUGAUUCGCUGACGAGUGGCGGACGGGUGAGUAAUGUCUGGGAAACUGCCUGAUGGAGGGGGAUAACUACUGGAAACGGUAGCUAAUACCGCAUAACGUCGCAAGACCAAAGAGGGGGACCUUCGGGCCUCUUGCCAUCGGAUGUGCCCAGAUGGGAUUAGCUAGUAGGUGGGGUAAUGGCUCACCUAGGCGACGAUCCCUAGCUGGUCUGAGAGGAUGACCAGCCACACUGGAACUGAGACACGGUCCAGACUCCUACGGGAGGCAGCAGUGGGGAAUAUUGCACAAUGGGCGCAAGCCUGAUGCAGCCAUGCCGCGUGUAUGAAGAAGGCCUUCGGGUUGUAAAGUACUUUCAGCGAGGAGGAAGGUGUUGUGGUUAAUAACCACAGCAAUUGACGUUACUCGCAGAAGAAGCACCGGCUAACUCCGUGCCAGCAGCCGCGGUAAUACGGAGGGUGCAAGCGUUAAUCGGAAUUACUGGGCGUAAAGCGCACGCAGGCGGUUUGUUAAGUCAGAUGUGAAAUCCCCGGGCUCAACCUGGGAACUGCAUUUGAAACUGGCAAGCUUGAGUCUCGUAGAGGGGGUAGAAUUCCAGGUGUAGCGGUGAAAUGCGUAGAGAUCUGGAGGAAUACCGGUGGCGAAGGCGGCCCCCUGGACGAAGACUGACGCUCAGGUGCGAAAGCGUGGGGAGCAAACAGGAUUAGAUACCCUGGUAGUCCACGCUGUAAACGAUGUCGACUUGGAGGUUGUGCCCUUGAGGCGUGGCUUCCGGAGCUAACGCGUUAAGUCGACCGCCUGGGGAGUACGGCCGCAAGGUUAAAACUCAAAUGAAUUGACGGGGGCCCGCACAAGCGGUGGAGCAUGUGGUUUAAUUCGAUGCAACGCGAAGAACCUUACCUGGUCUUGACAUCCACAGAACUUAGCAGAGAUGCUUUGGUGCCUUCGGGAACUGUGAGACAGGUGCUGCAUGGCUGUCGUCAGCUCGUGUUGUGAAAUGUUGGGUUAAGUCCCGCAACGAGCGCAACCCUUAUCCUUUGUUGCCAGCGAUUCGGUCGGGAACUCAAAGGAGACUGCCAGUGAUAAACUGGAGGAAGGUGGGGAUGACGUCAAGUCAUCAUGGCCCUUACGACCAGGGCUACACACGUGCUACAAUGGCAUAUACAAAGAGAAGCGACCUCGCGAGAGCAAGCGGACCUCAUAAAGUAUGUCGUAGUCCGGAUUGGAGUCUGCAACUCGACUCCAUGAAGUCGGAAUCGCUAGUAAUCGUAGAUCAGAAUGCUACGGUGAAUACGUUCCCGGGCCUUGUACACACCGCCCGUCACACCAUGGGAGUGGGUUGCAAAAGAAGUAGGUAGCUUAACCUUCGGGAGGGCGCUUACCACUUUGUGAUUCAUGACUGGGGUGAAGUCGUAACAAGGUAACCGUAGGGGAACCUGCGGUUGGAUCACCUCCUUA